UACCAGCACCCCGAGUGGUCGGGACGAUUAUUGGGCCUAAAGCAUCCGUAGCCGGUUCUACAAGUCUUCCGUUAAAUCCACCUGCUUAACAGAUGGGCCGCGGAAGAUACUAUAGAGCUAGGAGGCGGGAGAGGCAAGCGGUACUCGAUGGGUAGGGGUAAAAUCCGUUGAUCCAUUGAAGACCACCAGUGGCGAAGGCGGCUUGCCAGAACGCGCUCGACGGUGAGGGAUGAAAGCUGGGGGAGCAAACCGG
rnacentral:rRNA from 1 species